UUCCUUCUGUUCUUCCUCCCUCCGCCCUUGCUGCUCAGCUCUUCCUCUCCUCCGCGAGGCUCAACAUUCUAAGGUCGGAUGUGGAUAAAUGUUGAGGGCAGAAGACGAGAGCUCAGAGGGACGCGGCCGACCCCGCACCUCGCGCUCCGCUCGCGUCGGUAACCUUCACGAAACUUCGCAAACCUUCUCGCUUCACGAACUACGGCGGAGCGUGUUCGCCUAUCGCGAAGUUUAACACGACUAGCUGAACUUGAAAAGGUGUGAGGGCCGUCCGUAAUCCAUUCCUUUCUGUCACCUCCCUGACAUGAAAUCGAUGGCUCCAUGAUGAGAGCUUUGCCGCCGUUGCCAUGACGCAGAACCUUCGUUCGUCGGCCACCAGGUGAUCGACCUUCGGAAGGCUUCUUGAAGGAUGGAGAUGGUUUUUUUUAGAACUAAAGCCUCCAAAAGUCUGAAAGGGCGUGGCGGUAACCGGCCGGCUGCGCGGCGCUCGGGUUCUGAACGCAGGAGCUGACGACAGCAGCGGCUUCGCACUUCACCCAAAGGCUUGAAGACCUCCACGACGGGACGCCGUGUGAGCAGCGGCUCCGGCUGCCUUCAGGCGGCUCUGGGACAUUCCUGUCCUCGGCAUGUUAGCGCCUCAACGAGUGAAACCCCUCAUAUCCACUGUCAGGAACGUUGUUGUGAUCCGUCAAUCUUUUGUUUUGUGUCGGCGGGACUAAGCAGGCACACAUGUCACGUUCUUCCCGUGGUCACAUGUGUAACGCACACACACGUGUAACGCACACACACGUGUAACGCACACACACACACAUCUCUACGUGGUGUUGAAGGGUUUUACAGUCUGUGUGCAAUUAGCGCGUUAGCAUGCUAACAUUAGCGUGUCACAAAAUAGAGCCGAGGCUGGUGGGAAUUAAUUGUUUGUUUGCCGGUAUCUGUGGAUGAAGUAUUAGAUGCAUUGUAAAUGUCAACCUCAUCAACAGAAUGAAUGUCAGGCUUGAGACUGACGGAGUUCAUCACGCCGCACGGAGAAACAGGGUUUGAACCGCCCAGAAUAAUUUAAAUAAAGAAUAUAAAAUUAA